rnacentral:rRNA from 1 species
GGGUUGUGAGGUUAAGCGACUAAGCGUACACGGUGGAUGCCCUGGCAGUCAGAGGCGAUGAAGGACGUGCUAAUCUGCGAUAAGCGUCGGUAAGGUGAUAUGAACCGUUAUAACCGGCGAUUUCCGAAUGGGGAAACCCAGUGUGUUUCGACACACUAUCAUUAACUGAAUCCAUAGGUUAAUGAGGCGAACCGGGGGAACUGAAACAUCUAAGUACCCCGAGGAAAAGAAAUCAACCGAGAUUCUCCCAGUAGCGGCGAGCGAACGGGGAGCAGCCCAGAGCCUGAAUCAGUGUGUGUGUUAGUGGAAGCGUCUGGAAAGGCGCGCGAUACAGGGUGACAGCCCCGUACACAAAAAUGCACAUGCUGUGAGCUCGAUGAGUAGGGCGGGACACGUGGUAUCCUGUCUGAAUAUGGGGGGGCCAUCCUCCAAGGCUAAAUACUCCUGACUGACCGAUAGUGAACCAGUACCGUGAGGGAAAGGCGAAAAGAACCCCGGCGAGGGGAGUGAAAAAGAACCUGAAACCGUGUACGUACAAGCAGUGGGAGCACGCUUAGGCGUGUGACUGCGUACCUUUUGUAUAAUGGGUCAGCGACUUAUAUUCUGUAGCAAGGUUAACCGAAUAGGGGAGCCGAAGGGAAACCGAGUCUUAACUGGGCGUUAAGUUGCAGGGUAUAGACCCGAAACCCGGUGAUCUAGCCAUGGGCAGGUUGAAGGUUGGGUAACACUAACUGGAGGACCGAACCGACUAAUGUUGAAAAAUUAGCGGAUGACUUGUGGCUGGGGGUGAAAGGCCAAUCAAACCGGGAGAUAGCUGGUUCUCCCCGAAAGCUAUUUAGGUAGCGCCUCGUGAAUUCAUCUCCGGGGGUAGAGCACUGUUUCGGCAAGGGGGUCAUCCCGACUUACCAACCCGAUGCAAACUGCGAAUACCGGAGAAUGUUAUCACGGGAGACACACGGCGGGUGCUAACGUCCGUCGUGAAGAGGGAAACAACCCAGACCGCCAGCUAAGGUCCCAAAGUCAUGGUUAAGUGGGAAACGAUGUGGGAAGGCCCAGACAGCCAGGAUGUUGGCUUAGAAGCAGCCAUCAUUUAAAGAAAGCGUAAUAGCUCACUGGUCGAGUCGGCCUGCGCGGAAGAUGUAACGGGGCUAAACCAUGCACCGAAGCUGCGGCAGCGACACUAUGUGUUGUUGGGUAGGGGAGCGUUCUGUAAGCCUGUGAAGGUGUGCUGUGAGGCAUGCUGGAGGUAUCAGAAGUGCGAAUGCUGACAUAAGUAACGAUAAAGCGGGUGAAAAGCCCGCUCGCCGGAAGACCAAGGGUUCCUGUCCAACGUUAAUCGGGGCAGGGUGAGUCGACCCCUAAGGCGAGGCCGAAAGGCGUAGUCGAUGGGAAACAGGUUAAUAUUCCUGUACUUGGUGUUACUGCGAAGGGGGGACGGAGAAGGCUAUGUUGGCCGGGCGACGGUUGUCCCGGUUUAAGCGUGUAGGCUGGUUUUCCAGGCAAAUCCGGAAAAUCAAGGCUGAGGCGUGAUGACGAGGCACUACGGUGCUGAAGCAACAAAUGCCCUGCUUCCAGGAAAAGCCUCUAAGCAUCAGGUAACAUCAAAUCGUACCCCAAACCGACACAGGUGGUCAGGUAGAGAAUACCAAGGCGCUUGAGAGAACUCGGGUGAAGGAACUAGGCAAAAUGGUGCCGUAACUUCGGGAGAAGGCACGCUGAUAUGUAGGUGAAGUCCCUCGCGGAUGGAGCUGAAAUCAGUCGAAGAUACCAGCUGGCUGCAACUGUUUAUUAAAAACACAGCACUGUGCAAACACGAAAGUGGACGUAUACGGUGUGACGCCUGCCCGGUGCCGGAAGGUUAAUUGAUGGGGUUAGCCGCAAGGCGAAGCUCUUGAUCGAAGCCCCGGUAAACGGCGGCCGUAACUAUAACGGUCCUAAGGUAGCGAAAUUCCUUGUCGGGUAAGUUCCGACCUGCACGAAUGGCGUAAUGAUGGCCAGGCUGUCUCCACCCGAGACUCAGUGAAAUUGAACUCGCUGUGAAGAUGCAGUGUACCCGCGGCAAGACGGAAAGACCCCGUGAACCUUUACUAUAGCUUGACACUGAACAUUGAGCCUUGAUGUGUAGGAUAGGUGGGAGGCUUUGAAGUGUGGACGCCAGUCUGCAUGGAGCCGACCUUGAAAUACCACCCUUUAAUGUUUGAUGUUCUAACGUUGACCCGUAAUCCGGGUUGCGGACAGUGUCUGGUGGGUAGUUUGACUGGGGCGGUCUCCUCCUAAAGAGUAACGGAGGAGCACGAAGGUUGGCUAAUCCUGGUCGGACAUCAGGAGGUUAGUGCAAUGGCAUAAGCCAGCUUGACUGCGAGCGUGACGGCGCGAGCAGGUGCGAAAGCAGGUCAUAGUGAUCCGGUGGUUCUGAAUGGAAGGGCCAUCGCUCAACGGAUAAAAGGUACUCCGGGGAUAACAGGCUGAUACCGCCCAAGAGUUCAUAUCGACGGCGGUGUUUGGCACCUCGAUGUCGGCUCAUCACAUCCUGGGGCUGAAGUAGGUCCCAAGGGUAUGGCUGUUCGCCAUUUAAAGUGGUACGCGAGCUGGGUUUAGAACGUCGUGAGACAGUUCGGUCCCUAUCUGCCGUGGGCGCUGGAGAACUGAGGGGGGCUGCUCCUAGUACGAGAGGACCGGAGUGGACGCAUCACUGGUGUUCGGGUUGUCAUGCCAAUGGCACUGCCCGGUAGCUAAAUGCGGAAGAGAUAAGUGCUGAAAGCAUCUAAGCACGAAACUUGCCCCGAGAUGAGUUCUCCCUGACUCCUUGAGAGUCCUGAAGGAACGUUGAAGACGACGACGUUGAUAGGCCGGGUGUGUAAGCGCAGCGAUGCGUUGAGCUAACCGGUACUAAUGAACCGUGAGGCUUAACCUUACAACGCCGAAGGUGUUU